GAGGUCGGCUCCACCCUUCAGCCCUCGGCUUGGUGCAGCCCUGUCCUCCCCGGGGGGAAUGGUACGGCCCCCGGCCCCCCUCGGCUCCCCCUCCUUCACCGGGUCGGAGUGGUAGGCGCCCCCCCACCCCCCUUCCCGGUGAGGACGCGGAACUGGCGCGCGCUCUGAGCGGCGUCCGCGCCGGCGAGCGACUGACGCUUGGCUGCAGAGAGUCGUGCGGCCGAACCUGGCCGGUCUUCAGAGGCUCCAGAGAUAUCAGAAUUCCUCCUGGGAAGAUCGACUCUGCGCUUGGUGCCUUGAGGUUUCUCUGAGAUGAACUGAUGUAUUGGAACCAUGGUGCAAAAGAAGAAGUUCUGUCCUCGGUUACUUGACUAUCUAGUGAUCGUAGGGGCCAGGCACCCAAGCAGUGAUAGUGUGGCCCAGACUCCGGAAUUGCUACGGCGAUACCCAUUAGAGGAUCACCCUGAGUUUCCCCUGCCCCCGGAUGUCGUGUUCUUCUGCCAGCCAGAGGGCUGUUUGAGUGUGCGGCAGCGGCGCAUGAGCCUGCGGGACGACACCUCUUUUGUCUUCACCCUCACCGACAAGGACACUGGAGUCACGCGUUAUGGCAUCUGUGUUAACUUCUACCGCUCCUUCCAAAAGCGGGUGCCUAAGGAAAAGGGGGAGGCUGGGGCAGGGUCCCGUGGGAAGGAAGGACCCCGGGCCACCUGCGUCUCAGAAGAGGUUAGCACUGAGAGCUCAGAGAGUGGCUCGACCCUGCAGCCUCCCAGUGCCGACUCGACCCCAGAUGUGAACCAGUCCCCUCGGGGCAAGCGCCGGGCCAAGGCGGGGAGCCGGUCCCGCAACAGCACUCUGACAUCCCUGUGUGUGCUCAGCCACUACCCCUUCUUCUCCACCUUCCGGGAGUGUCUGUACACCCUCAAACGUCUGGUGGACUGCUGUAGCGAGAGGCUGCUGGGCAAGAAACUGGGCCUCCCUCGAGGCAUACAAAGGGACACGAUGUGGCGCAUCUUCACUGGAUCGUUGUUAGUGGAGGAGAAGUCAAGUGCCCUUCUGCAUGACCUUCGAGAGAUCGAGGCCUGGAUCUAUCGCUUGCUGCGUUCCCCAGUACCCAUCUCUGGGCAGAAGCGAGUGGACAUUGAGGUCCUGCCCCAGGAGCUCCAGCAAGCUCUGACCUUUGCUCUUCCAGACCCCUCUCGAUUCACCCUAGUGGAUUUCCCACUGCACCUCCCCUUGGAACUUCUGGGUGUGGAUGCCUGUCUUCAGGUGCUAACCUGCAUCCUGCUAGAGCACAAGGUGGUGCUACAGUCCCGAGACUACAAUGCACUCUCCAUGUCUGUGAUGGCAUUUGUGGCAAUGAUCUACCCUUUAGAGUAUAUGUUUCCCGUUAUCCCACUGCUGCCCACCUGCAUGGCAUCAGCAGAACAGCUGCUGUUGGCUCCAACACCAUACAUCAUCGGGGUCCCUGCCAGCUUCUUCCUCUACAAACUGGACUUCAAAAUGCCUGAUGAUGUGUGGCUAGUGGAUCUGGACAGCAACAGGGUGAUUGCCCCCACCAAUGCAGAAGUGCUACCUAUCCUGCCAGAACCAGAAUCAUUAGAGUUGAAAAAACACUUAAAACAGGCCCUUGCCAGCAUGAGUCUCAACACCCAGCCCAUCCUCAAUCUGGAGAAAUUCCAUGAAGGCCAGGAGAUCCCCCUUCUCUCGGGAAGGCCAUCUAAUGACCUGCAGUCCACACCAUCCACUGAAUUCAACCCACUCAUCUAUGGCAAUGAUGUGGAUUCUGUGGAUGUCGCAACCAGAGUGGCCAUGGUCCGUUUCUUCAACUCCCCCAACGUGCUGCAGGGCUUUCAGAUGCACACGCGUACCCUGCGUCUCUUCCCCCGGCCUGUGGUAGCUUUCCAGGCUGGCUCCUUUCUAGCCUCACGUCCCCGGCAGACUCCUUUUGCUGAGAAGUUGGCCAGGACUCAGGCUGUGGAGUACUUUGGAGAGUGGAUCCUCAACCCCACCAACUAUGCCUUUCAGCGGAUUCACAACAACAUGUUUGAUCCAGCCCUGAUUGGUGACAAGCCGAAGUGGUACGCACACCAGCUGCAGCCCAUCCACUAUCGAGUCUAUGACAGCAGCUCCCAGCUGGCUGAGGCACUGAGCGUGCCGCCGGAGCGCGACUCUGACUCUGACCCUACCGAUGACAGUGGCAGUGACAGUAUGGAUUAUGAUGACUCAAGCUCUUCGUACUCCUCCCUUGGUGACUUUGUCAGUGAGAUGAUGAAAUGUGACAUCAAUGGCGAUACUCCUAAUGUGGAUCCUCUGACACAUGCUGCUCUGGGGGAUGCCAGUGAAGUAGCGAUUGAUGACCUGCAAAACCAGAAGGAAGCAGAGGAACCUGGCCCGGAUAGUGAGAACUCUCAAGAAAACCCCCCUCUGCGUUCUAGCUCCAGCACCACCGCCAGCAGUAGCCCCAGCACCAUCAUCCAUGGAGCCGGUUCUGAGCCUGCCGACUCAGUGGAGAUGGAUAAUAAAGCAGCAGUAGGCAUCUCUAAGCCCCUCGCCACCAUGCCUCCCAGCAUGGGCAAAUUGAACGUGGACCGGCAUCAGGCGGAAAUUGGAGAGGGGUCAGUGCGCCGCCGAACCUAUGACAGUCCACACUUCGAGCCCCAAUGUGGCUUUCCCCCUGAAGAAGAUGAUGAUGAGCAGGGGGAAAGUUAUACUCCCCGAUUCAGCCAACAUGCCAAUGGCAAUCGGGCUCAAAGGCUGCUGCGGCCCAACAGCUUGAAACUGGCAAGUGACUCAGAUGCAGAGUCAGACUCUCGAGCGAGCUCGCCCACCUCCACCGUCUCCAACAACAGCACCGAGGGCUUCGGGGGCAUCAUGUCUUUUGCCAGCAGCCUGUAUCGGAACCACAGUACAAGCUUCAGUCUUUCAAACCUCACACUGCCUACCAAGGGUGCCCGAGAGAAGACCACGCCCUUCCCCAGUCUGAAAGGAAACCGGAGGGCCUUAGUGGACCAGAAGUCAUCUGUCAUUAAACACAGCCCAACAGUGAAGAGAGAGCCUCCAUCACCUCAGGGCCGAUCCAGCAAUUCUAGUGAGAACCAGCAGUUCCUGAAGGAGGUGGUGCACAGCGUGCUGGAUGGCCAGGGAGUUGGCUGGCUCAACAUGAAGAAGGUGCGGCGGCUGCUGGAGAGCGAGCAGUUGCGAGUGUUUGUCCUGAGCAAGCUGAACCGCACCGUGCAGUCAGAGGACGAUGCCCGGCAGGACAUCAUCCCAGAUGUGGAGAUCAGUCGGAAGGUGUACAAGGGCAUGUUAGACCUGCUCAAGUGCACGGUCCUCAGUCUGGAGCAGUCCUACGCCCACGCAGGUCUGGGUGGCAUGGCCAGCAUCUUUGGGCUUCUGGAGAUCGCCCAGACCCACUACUAUAGUAAAGAACCAGACAAGCGGAAGAGAAGUCCAACUGAGAGUGUAAAUAUACCAGUUGGCAAGGAUCCUGGCCUGGCUGGGCGAGGAGACCCAAAGGCCGUGGCACAGCUGAGAGUCCCCCAGCUGGGGCCUUGGGCACCAAGUGCCACAGGAAAGAGUCCCAAGGAACUGGACACCAGAAGUCUAAAGGAAGAGAAUUUUGUGGCAUCAAUUGGGCCUGAAGUAAUCAAACCCACCUUUGACCUUGGGGAGACAGAGGAGAAAAAGUCCCAAGUCAGCGCAGACAGUGGUGUGAGCCUGACAUCUGGUUCCCAGAGGACUGAUCCGGACUCUGUCAUCGGUGUGAGUCCAGCUGUUAUGAUCCGAAGCUCAAGUCAGGACUCUGAAGUUAGCACCGUGGUGAGUAAUAGCUCUGGAGAGACUCUUGGAGCAGACAGUGACCUGAGCAGCAAUGCAGGUGAUGGACCAGGCGGUGAGGGAAGUGCCCGCUUGGCAGGCUCUCGGGGCACUUUGUCUGAUAGUGAAAUUGAAACCAACUCUGCCACCAGUGCCAUCUUUGGUAAAGCCCACAGCUUGAAGCCAAGUGUAAAGGAGAAGCUGAUGGGCAGCCCAGUUCGCUCCUCCGAAGACGUAAGCCAGCGUGUCUAUCUCUACGAGGGACUCCUAGGCAAAGAGCGUUCUACUUUAUGGGACCAAAUGCAGUUCUGGGAAGAUGCGUUCUUAGAUGCUGUGAUGUUGGAGAGAGAAGGGAUGGGUAUGGACCAGGGUCCCCAGGAAAUGAUAGACAGGUACCUGUCCCUUGGAGAACAUGACCGGAAGCGGCUAGAGGAUGAUGAGGAUCGUUUGCUGGCCACACUCUUGCACAACCUCAUCUCCUACAUGCUGCUGAUGAAGGUGAAUAAGAAUGAUAUCCGGAAGAAGGUGAGGCGCCUGAUGGGAAAGUCCCAUAUUGGGCUUGUGUACAGCCAGCAAAUCAACGAAGUGCUUGACCAGCUGGCAAACUUGAACGGACGUGACCUCUCCAUCCGAUCCAGUGGCAGCCGGCACAUGAAGAAGCAGACCUUUGUGGUACAUGCUGGGACAGACACAAAUGGAGAUAUCUUUUUCAUGGAGGUGUGUGACGACUGCGUGGUGUUGCGUAGUAACAUCGGGACAGUGUACGAGCGCUGGUGGUACGAGAAGCUCAUCAACAUGACCUACUGUCCUAAGACCAAGGUGCUCUGCUUGUGGCGCAGAAACGGUUCUGAGACCCAGCUCAACAAGUUCUACACCAAGAAGUGUCGGGAGCUGUACUACUGCGUGAAGGACAGCAUGGAGCGCGCUGCCGCCCGACAGCAGAGCAUCAAACCGGGACCGGAACUAGGUGGCGAGUUCCCUGUGCAGGACAUGAAGACUGGCGAGGGCGGCUUGCUACAGGUCACCCUAGAAGGAAUCAAUCUCAAGUUCAUGCACAGCCAGGUUUUCAUAGAGCUGAAUCACAUUAAAAAGUGCAAUACAGUUCGAGGCGUCUUUGUCCUGGAGGAAUUUGGUAAUUACACUAUUUUGCUCUUAGGUCUGGACUCACAUGGCAGUAACUCAAACCUCGGAGCUCCAGAGGAGGGACUAGAGACAGAGAAGAAGCGCCUCUGCAGAGAGGUCAGGAGGAGCAGGAGUGAUAGGGAAGAAGAGGGGACCCUGAGAUGAGAGAAGGGAGGAGAAAGGAAAGCUAGACGGUGGCUGCCAGGGAACGGGCCGCAGAAGAGCAGCGGCUCAGACGCGGGGGUUAGAGCUCAGCCCUGCUACUGAAAAGGCUCCGCAAACCAGUGCCACCUUCCCUCACUUGGCCAGCCAGUGGUCAGAAAGGUCUGGGGCAGAGCAGAUGGGCCAUUCCCCAGCUCUGCUGGGUUCCUGUCGCCCGCUGCCAUCCCUCUAGCAGCCCAGUGCUGCAUCCAGCCACCCCCGGGGCCUCUCCGGGUCUGCCUGGCCUCUGUGCUGGAGCAGGGAGUGUGGCGGGGCAGGCAGGCUCACUCUAGGGGGCAGACAAGCCUAGUGGCCUCAGAGGCAGAGGGCAGUGGGAGCUGGAAGCCGGGAGUCAGCCUCCCUCCAGCCCAGCGCUGAGACUGACCAGUGGUGUCUGGGUUCUCACCCUGGGGCUUUGAGUUCCUGCUGUGUUUGUGCUUCAUUCUUUUGUGCCCCUCAUCGCUGCUAUGAAAACCUUCGUUCUCCAGCAGGUAAAGUGACCUCGCCGUGCUGCCUUUCUCCCCAGGCCCCUGCCUCGGGCCCUGCAGUCGGGGGGCGGGCUCCCUGCGCCUAAGCCAGCUGCUCACAUCGCCAGUUUGUCUCUUCCCUUCUCUCCCCACCCUCUUCCUUCCCAACCUCCUCCACCCUCGUGCUGGCUCAUUGGUUCUGAGUUUUCUCCCAUGUGCUCCUUUCUCUCUUCUGCCAGAGAGACGUUUGGGGGAAUCUUCCAACUCGGGAGAAGGACCUGGGCUUCUUGCUCUACCUUUGAGGAGUUUAUUCCCUGUUAACCCCGGGGCCCUUGGAAUUCUACCUCCCAGGGUCCGAAGAAGGUGUGGCCAACUCUCCUACCUCUUCUGGCCCCCAGGGCGAUGGCACGCCCCCUGCUCCCAGUCUUGGGCGUGAUGAUGGCUGAGGCUGGGGGCCCUGAUUCCUUCCUCUGGCCAAGCAGAACCCUGCAUGGCUGGGGCAGGGGUGACUCUUAGUCCUGCAUUCCGGGCUGUGGACAUGUGUGUACUUUGCCUGAUGCUCCUCGUCACGUCCCUCCCCGGGUGCUGUCCUCGCCUGUCUCUUCUGCUCGGUGUGUCUGCUCCAGAGCCCUCUGACGCUCUCCCUCACACAGGCAGGCCUGGGCCUCUGCUGCCAUCAGGGAAGGAAACUCCCAAGUCUGGUGGGUUUAGCAUCAUGCCACUUCUUCCUCCAGCCGCAGGACCCUCAGUGUAGGGGCUAGGAGUGCAGGGAACGUGUUAAACUUGACCAGAGUCGGGGGCUGGUGAUGGGGAUGAGUUCCUGGACAUCUCAGCAAGGUGAGGCACAGGCUAGAAACAGCGCUCUCCUCCCAUCCAAAAUCUGGGGACACCCACUGUGAUCCAUCGGGGCCCUGGACAGUAGCAGCCACCAGGCUAGUGAAAGACUAGCCUGCUCCCAUGCUGCGGCUCAAAGGAGUGGGUCGAGUCACAGCCCUGGAGCCUGGAGCCACCGCAGACCACAGAGGUCUGGCUGAGGAGUCUGGGCCAGUGUCCUCUCACCCGGAAGGGGCUGAGGCAUAGGGGAAGGGUGGCCCUGGUGCCGGGCGCUGCCGCCUGGGGGAGCAUGGCACCACUGCUCUUAGUUUUGAACUUUCUGUUUUGUCUCUUGCCCGUCCGGUUUUAGUUCCUGAAAUUAAAGAAGUGGUGAGCCACAAGUACAAGACACCAAUGGCCCAUGAGAUCUGCUACUCUGUGCUGUGUCUCUUCUCGUAUGUGGCUGCCGUGCGUAGCAGUGAGGAAGACCUCAGAACCCCACCCCGACCUGUCUCCAGCUGAUGGCAAGUGGUUAAGGCUGCCACAGCCCAGGGGCUGCGCCUUGCCUCUCACUGUUCCAAGUGCACGGAGCUGCCGUGACUGAGGAGUGGGUGAUGCAUGUGUGUCCUCUGAAAGCCCCUGCUGCAGCUUAGAUGGGUCCCUGUUGUGCGUCC